rnacentral:rRNA from 1 species
UACGUAGGUGGCAAGCGUUAUCCGGAUUUACUGGGCGUAAAGCGCGUUCAGGCGGUUUGGCAAGUCGGGCAUGAAAUCUCUCGGCUCAACCGGGAGAGGUUGUCCGAUACUGCUGGACUUGAGGGCAGUAGAGGGUGGUGGAAUUCCGGGUGUAGUGGUGAAAUGCGUAGAUAUCCGGAGGGACACCAGUGGCGAAAGCGGCCACCUGGACUGCACCUGACGCUGACACGCGAAAGCUAGGGGAGCGAACGGG